GUCCCUGCAGCGAAUGGAUAACGCGUUAGGCUUCUAAUCUAAAGGUCGUGGGUUAGAAUCACAAGCCUGGGAUG